AGGGCGGUAGCUCAACUAGGCAGAGCACCGGUCUCCAAAAUCGGGGGUUGCAGGUUCGAUUCCUGUCCGCCCUG
rnacentral:tRNA from 1 species